GAAGGUUCAGAAGAAGGUAGCUUCAGCUUCAAUUUUUAUUGUAUCGACAUAAAAACUAUUUAACACCUUCUGGUGUUGGAUAUGUUCAAUGAUUACUAGGCUUAUUCGAGAAGAUGCUGAUGGUCCUAUAGGAAAGCGCACCUUCAAUA
ensembl:ncRNA F46A9.9 ncRNA